CGAUCUUAUCUUCAGCCUCAAUAUUCCGAAAGUAUUGGAUUGCUUUACCAAACAAUUAAUAUAUAUUUUUGAAUUCGAUUGUUUUUCUUCCCUACAAUACAAAACAUAUUCCAAAGAACAUCAUCCUGUAGUCUGGUUGUGGUUUUCCUUGCCAUGCAUGAUAAUCAAUUUUAUUUUAUUUUCUCUAUCUCACAUUACUCCCCAAAUUAAGUAUAGUUUGCUGCUUCAGUUCAUGCAUAUUCAAAUAAAUUCCACUUUGUAAUGAAGUAAAGGCAAUAUCCAAGCUUAUCUCGACUUUAACUGUUUGUUUUAAAGUUGGGAAAGUUAUUUUUAAAAUCACAAAGUUUGUUCUGAAAAUCUGUUCUGAAAUUCAAAUUUCGUCAAAAACCACAAUGUGGUUGGCACAAGAAUAAAAACAACUGAAGAACACAACCCUCCUAUAACUCAGUACUGUAUAGAACUGCCUUGUUCCUCAACAAAUCCAUUUUAUUUGUGUCCAGGAAUAAUCAAACUCAUGUAUUAAGAGUCUGCUGGGAUAAACAAGACAGGACAAUUAAACAACGAGGCAGUUCUAACAGUGCUAAUUUUAAAAGUAUUGUAUACUUCAAUUGAUCAUUAAUUGCUUUUUGUAAGAUUUAAUAUAUGAAGACUCAAAAUAACAUCCAGAAUCAACAUCAAAUGAAACAUUGUGAUUUUUAGAUGAACUUUCCAAACUUUCAACAAACACUGAAAGUCCACUUAAACAAGAGAAGAUUGAGAUGGAACAUAAGUUUAAAAACCAUUUCAAUCUUCUCAAUGUUUAACUGAUGUAACA